AGAGUUAAACAGUACGUGAAAUUGUUGAAAGGGAAACGAUUGAAGUCAGUCGUACCGGUGAGUAAUCAGCCAUUUGGGUGCGAUUGUGUGGGUGAUGAGGAGCCUUACCGCCUUCACGUCUGCAUAUUUGUGCUUUGUUGGUGCACUUACUCGUAUGGUAGGUCAACGUCAAUUUUGGUCGUCAUAAAAUGACGGGAGGAAUGUAGCUUUGAUCUCGUAUUAAAGUGUUAUAGCCUCUGGUAGAUAUGGUGACUAGGAUUGAGGAUUGCAACGAACCCUUCGGGGCCACCCGUCUGGUCUCUGGUGGUUACUCUGGUAUCGAAAGCUUGCUUAUGAUCAUCAAAGUUGGCUGCCAAAAGGUUAGAACGGGUUGAUUUCGUUAAGGAUGUUGACGUAAUGGCUUUAAACGACC
rnacentral:rRNA from 1 species